rnacentral:rRNA from 1 species
AUGUACAAUGUUGUUCACAUAGAUGAGAAGUGGUUCUAUCGCACGAAGAAGUCUCUCAAGCUAUACCUGGCAGAGGACGAGGAGGAGCCGGAACGAUUCACAUAGAACAAGAAUUACAUAGAGAGGGUUAUGUUCCUUGCUGCAGUAGCGCGCCCUCGGUUUGAUGUGGGCGGUACCAUGACAUUUGAUGGCAAAAUUGGAAUAUGGCCAUUCACUUUUGAGGAGGGGGCUAAAAGGGAUAGUCCUAAUCGUCCAGCUGGGAUAAUUAUGACAAAGGUUAUCUCCAGGGUGACAAGGGAUGUUAGUAGAGACUUCUUGAUGAACAAGGUUAUCCCCGCCAUCAAAACAAAGUGGCCUCCAUCCGAACGUGGUCGUCCUAUAUUCAUCCAGCAGGAUAAUGCUAGGACUCAUGUCAAUGUUGAUGAUCCAUUUUUCCUUGCCGCGGCCCAGGCAGAUGGGUGGGACAUUCGUUUGGUGUGUCAGCCACCGAACUCCCCUGAUCUUAACGUACUUGAUCUAGGAUUUUUUGCUGCCUUACAAUCAGUGUUUCAGAAGUUAUUUUCAGGUUCUAUGGAUGACAUAGUCCACAAGGUGUGCCAGGCAUUUGAGCAGUACCCAGCUGAGAGGUGCAACAGGAUAUUCCUGACUCUACAAUCUUGCAUGCGUAAGGUUUUGAAGGAUAAGGGAGGCCAACACUACAAGGUGCCACACAUGAGGAAGCUAGUUCUUGCAAAUGUUGAUUCCCUCCCAGUGAAGUUGCCUUGUGAUCGAUCCAUCGUGGAUGAGGCGAGGGCUUUUUCACUUCAGUAG